rnacentral:rRNA from 1 species
GACGAACGCUGGCGGCGUGCCUAAUACAUGCAAGUUGAGCGCUGAAGGAUGGUACUUGUACCAACUGGAUGAGCAGCGAACGGGUGAGUAACGCGUGGGGAAUCUGCCUUUGAGCGGGGGACAACAUUGGGAAACGAAUGCUAAUACCGCAUAAAAACUUUAAACACAAGUUUUAAGUUUGAAAGAUGCAAUUGCAUCACUCAAAGAUGAUCCCGCGUUGUAUUAGCUAGUUGGUGAGGUAAAGGCUCACCAAGGCGAUGAUACAUAGCCGACCUGAGAGGGUGAUCGGCCACAUUGGGACUGAGACACGGCCCAAACUCCUACGGGAGGCAGCAGUAGGGAAUCUUCGGCAAUGGACGAAAGUCUGACCGAGCAACGCCGCGUGAGUGAAGAAGGUUUUCGGAUCGUAAAACUCUGUUGGUAGAGAAGAACGUUGGUGAGAGUGGAAAGCUCAUCAAGUGACGGUAACUACCCAGAAAGGGACGGCUAACUACGUG